rnacentral:rRNA from 1 species
GGGGGCAACCCUGAUCCAGCAAUGCCGCGUGUGUGAAGAAGGCCUUCGGGUUGUAAAGCACUUUUGUCCGGAAAGAAAUCGCGCUGGUUAAUACCUGGCGUGGAUGACGGUACCGGAAGAAUAAGCACCGGCUAACUACGUGCCAGCAGCCGCGGUAAUACGUAGGGUGCGAGCGUUAAUCGGAAUUACUGGGCGUAAAGCGUGCGCAGGCGGUUUUGUAAGACAGGCGUGAAAUCCCCGGGCUUAACCUGGGAAUUGCGCUUGUGAUUGCAAGGCUAGAGUGCGUCAGAGGGGGGUAGAAUUCCACGUGUAGCAGUGAAAUGCGUAGAGAUGUGGAGGAAUACCGAUGGCGAAGGCAGCCCCCUGGGACGUGACUGACGCUCAUGCACGAAAGCGUGGGGAGCAAACAGGAUUAGAUACCCUGGUAGUCCACGCUCUAAACGAUGUCAACUAGUUGUUGGGGAUUCAUUUUCUCAGUAACGUAGCUAACGCGUGAAGUUGACCGCCUGGGGAGUACGGUCGCAAGAUUAAAACU